rnacentral:rRNA from 1 species
UACGUAGGGCGCAAGCGUUGUCCGGAAUUAUUGGGCGUAAAGAGCUCGUAGGCGGUCUGUUACGUCCGCUGUGAAAACCCAGGGCUUAACCCUGGGCUUGCAGUGGAUACGGGCAGACUAGAGGCAGGUAGGGGAGAAUGGAAUUCCCGGUGUAGCGGUGAAAUGCGCAGAUAUCGGGAGGAACACCGGUGGCGAAGGCGGUUCUCUGGGCCUGACCUGACGCUGAGGAGCGAAAGCGUGGGGAGGCGAAC